rnacentral:rRNA from 1 species
GACGAACGCUGGCGGCGUGCUUAACACAUGCAAGUCGAACGAAGAGCGAUGGAAGCUUGCUUCUAUCAAUCUUAGUGGCGAACGGGUGAGUAACGCGUAAUCAACCUGCCCUUCAGAGGGGGACAACAGUUGGAAACGACUGCUAAUACCGCAUACGAUCUAAUCUCGGCAUCGAGGAUAGAUGAAAGGUGGCCUCUACAUGUAAGCUAUCACUGAAGGAGGGGAUUGCGUCUGAUUAGCUAGUUGGAGGGGUAACGGUCCACCAAGGCGAUGAUCAGUAGCCGGUCGGAGGGGAGGAGCGGCCACUUGGGGACUGGAACAGGGCCCGCACUCUUAGGGGAGGCAGCAGGGGGGAAUUUGCCGCAAUGGAAGAAAGUCUGGCGGGGAAACGCGGCGUGAGAGAGGGCGGCUUUGGGGUUGAAAGGCUUUGUUAGGCGGGAGGAAGGGCUUUCUUGAAAAUAGGGAGAGGGAUUGACGUUACCGGAAUAGAAGGCCAGGGCUAACUACGGG